GGGCUAUUAGCUCAAUGGUAGAGCAGGUCCCUCUUAAGGACAAGGUUAUAGGUUCGAGUCCUAUAUAGCCCA
rnacentral:tRNA from 1 species